GCCCAAGUCACACAGGUGUUAAGUGGUGAAAUUCAAACCCAUGUCUGUUCAACCACAGAGUUCCUGCGAUUUUCCCUGAACCUGCAGCCUGGCCAUUUUUCUGCUGCUCUAAUCUUCAUUUGGGAACCCAGGGAUAUGAAUGGGAAGCAAGACCAUGGCAACAAAGGGCCUUGUGCUCACUCUAGCAGAGCGUCCUGCCUUUGUCUCUGAUCCAGCCUGGUGCGUCAGUCUUUGCAAACAAAAGAUGUGACCACCCGGCCGCCUAUCCCUGCCCCCACCAAAGCAGUAAUGGAGGCUGAGGCCUCCCUAGUUGAGCCGAGCCGAGCCAGGAGAGCAGCAGACAGGUACAGAUCAGCAGGCCAGGAACAGGGCUCACAAAAGAGAGGUCGUGCUUAAUAAACCUGACUAAUUUCUUGGAGCGGCAACAAUGCCAAGUGGACAGAGGUGAAAUGAGGGACAGUAACUCAUCCUGAUUCCAAGGCACAGAAGCACAGCUAAAAUCAACAGAGAGAUUUUGUGGAGAUGCUGCUGGGGCCUGAAAGGGUCUGGUGGGGCUCAGUUCUGGGGGAAGAUGGAUGGAAACUCAGUGAGUUCUGGAGGCUGGGAACCAAGAUCAAAGGAUGGGAAGAUUUGGUGUCUGGUGAGGGCCUGCUUCCUGGUUCAUUGACUGUCUUCUUGCUGUGACCUCACUUGGCAGAAAGAGGGCUAGAGAAUUCUCUGGCGGCCGGGCACUGUGGCUCACACCUGUAAUACCAACAUUUUGGGAGACCAAUGCAGGAGGAUUGCUUGAGGCCAGGAAUUCAAGACCAACCUGGGCAACAUAGUGAGAACCUGUAGUUCCAGCUACUUGGGGGCUGAGGCAAGACCAUCACUUGAGGCCAGGAUUUCAAGGCUGCAGUGAGCUAUGAUAGUGCCACUGCACUGCAGCCUGGGUGACAGAGCAAGACCCUGUCUCUAAAAAAAUAAAAACAAAAUAAGAAGAGAGUUCUUUGGGGGUCUCUUUUGUAAGG
rnacentral:lncRNA from 1 species